rnacentral:lncRNA from 1 species
UGGAAUUCUGGCACGAUGAUUCCGCCGUGCUCCAACGACGGCCCUGCCGCCCGCGAUGGUGAUUAGCCUCGGGUUGGCAGUUUUUUGGCCGUUUUCGGUAAAAUUCAGCUGAUUUUGCAUCAACUCCUGUAAGAAAACACGUUAAGGGACCUCGGUUGGCCAAAAAAUACAAAACUGAAACUCACCGACAGCAGGACUCUCCGGUGCGGCGGCUCCUCUGGCUCACGUUGCGGUUGGGUGUUUUGCUCCAAUUAACCUGUAGAGAAGGAAACGAUGAUCACAAUGGUGAAAAAAUUGCAUCGAACGGGAAUCAAGAAGGGCCUCAUCGGAGGCAUUUUGUGAAAUUUCCCACGCCAGCGCCGCCAGGUUUUG